rnacentral:rRNA from 1 species
GGCAACAUCCAUACCAUAUUGAAAUUAUUAAUUCUCGUCUGAUCAUUGAAGUUAAGCACGGUUAGAGUACUUGGAUGAUCGCUUGGGAACAUCGUGUAAUAUUGUCU